rnacentral:tRNA from 1 species
UCCCUGGUGGCUCAGAGGUUAAAGCAUCUGCCUGGAGUGCUGGAGACCUGGGUUCGAUCCCUGGGUCGGGAA